rnacentral:rRNA from 1 species
GAAACGACACUAACAAUCCUUCGGGUGCGUUAAUGGGCGUCGACCGGCGCACGGGUGAGUAACGCGUAUGCAACCUACCUUACAUUGGGGGAUAGCCCAGAGAAAUCUGGAUUAAUACCGCAUAAUAUAUUUGAAUCGCAUGGUUUAAAUAUUAAAACUCCGGUGAUGUAAGAUGGGCAUGCGUAGCAUUAGUUAGUUGGUGAGGUAACGGCUCACCAAGACAAUGAUGCUUAGGGGGUCUGAGAGGAUAGUC